rnacentral:rRNA from 1 species
UACGUAGGUGGCAAGCGUUGUCCGGAAUUAUUGGGCGUAAAGCGCGCGCAGGUGGUUUCUUAAGUCUGAUGUGAAAGCCCACGGCUCAACUGGGGAGGGUCAUUCGAUACUGAUCGACUCGAAGGCAGGAGAGGGUAGUGGAAUUCCCGGUGUAGUGGUGAAAUGCGUAGAUAUCGGGAGGAACACCAGUGGCGAAGGCGACUACCUGGCCUGUUCUUGACGCUGAGGCGCGAAAGCUAGGGGAGCAAACGGG